GGACGUGGCGGGCGCGUAUAAUGCAAGUCGAGCGGACCUUCGGGUCAGCGGCGGACGGGUGAGGAACACGUGAGUGAUCUAUCGAUGAGUGGGGGAUAUCGGGCCGAAAGGCGCGGCAAUCCCGCAUACGUUCCUACGGGAAGAAAGCUGGGCAACUGGCGCUCAUCGCGGAGCUCGCGGCCCAUUAGCUAGUUGGGGGGGUAACGGCCUCCCAGGGCGACGAUGGGUAGCCGGCCUGAGAGGGUGAACGGCCACACUGGGACUGAGACACGGCCCAGACUCCUACGGGAGGCAGCAGUAGGGAAUCUUCCACAAUGGGCGCAAGCCUGAUGGAGCAACGCCGCGUGAGUGAAGACGGCCUUCGGGUUGUAAAGCUCUGUCUGUCGGGACGAAGACCGGGACGGGAGUCCCGGGGAGCCGGUACCGACGAAGGAAGCCCCUGCAAACUACGUGCCAGCAGCCGCGGUAAGACGUAGGGGGCAAGCGUUGUCCGGAAUUACUGGGCGUAAAGGGCGUGUAGGCGGUGCGAUACGUAGCGGUUUUAAGCCUCCGGCUCACCCGGAGGAGGGCGGCUAAACGGUCGCACUGGAGGGCAGGAGAGGUGCGUGGAAUUCCUGGUGGAGCGGUGAAAUGCGUAGAGAUCAGGAAGAACACCAGUGGCGAAGGCGGCGCACUGGCCUGACCCUGACGCUGAGGCGCGACAGCGUGGGGAGCAAACGGGAUUAGAUACCCCGGUAGUCCACGCCGUAAACGAUGGAUACUAGGUGUCGUGGGGGUCCACCCUGCGG
rnacentral:rRNA from 1 species